CCUACGGGAGGCAGCAGUGGGGAAUAUUGGGCAAUGGAGGAAACUCUGACCCAGCGACGCCGCGUGCGGGAUGAAGGCCUUCGGGCUGUAAACCGCUUCCAGUAGGGAAGAAGCGAAAGUGACGGUACCUACAAAAGAAGCACCGGCUAACUAUGUGCCAGCAGCCGCGGUAAUACAUAGGGUGCAAGCGUUGUCCGGAAUUAUUGGGCGUAAAGAGCUCGUAGGUCGUUUGUUACGUCGGAUGUGAAAACCUGAGGCUCAACCUCAGGCCUGCAUUCGAUACGGGCAAACUAGAGUUUGGUAGGGGAGACUGGAAUUCCUGGUGUAGCGGUGGAAUGCGCAGAUAUCAGGAGGAACACCAAUGGCGAAGGCAGGUCUCUGGGCCAAUACUGACACUGAGGAGCGAAAGUCUGGGGAGCGAACAGGAUUAGAUACCCUGGUAGUCCAGACCGUAAACGGUGGGCACUAGUUGUGGGAACCUUCCACGGUUUCUGCGACGCAGCUAACGCAUUAAGUGCCCCGCCUGGGGAGUACGAUCGCAAGAUUAAAACUCAAAUGAAUUGACGG
rnacentral:rRNA from 1 species